AGCUAUCAAUAAGCUGUACAUGAAAACUACCUGGAAGCGGAAUCUGACUCCAGGGUUUGGUGUUAAACACCAGAGGAUAUAAAGUAUCCUGCCAAGGACAAACCUUUACAGCCCUACAUUCCACUGCUGGUGAUAUGUAUUCUCUUCCUCGUCAGAUUAGAAAGAGGCAGUAGGGGACAAUCAGUGGAUUGAAUAUCGAAUCAAAAGUCCUAAGGUCCGGUAUGUUUUUCAGCUGGUGAACAAAAGACAUCUGAGGAUUCAGGAUGUCAAUUCAACUUAUUUCUUACAGCAUUAUGAUAAGAAGAAGGGGAAUUCUUUGUAGUUUAUCUCAUUUCUAUAUUAUCUUAUCUUCACAACUCUGCAAAUCUUCCACCAUAGGCACAAGAAGAACAAUUGAAAGCCUGAAGAAUGAAAGAAAACCUGCUUAGGAAACUUGACUCUGGCAGCAUCCCACACUGUGGUUAUAAGACAUCCACCUUUCUGCCUGAGGUUCCCAUCUGAAGAACAAGGGUAACAAGAGCACCUCUCCCAACAAAUGUUUGCCUAACUCUUUGAAGUUUAUAUGCUCUGCAUCUGGGUGAAGUCUAGUUAAUGCAUCCAUAGGAAGUGCUUUCCUAGCAGAAAGGUGCAACUCUGGGUGUGUCUUUCUCUUCCCAUUCAUUCAAAUCUCUGUUGUUAAACUCAUGAGAACUUUACUCCAGUUAAUCAUGCCACAUCUGAAAUAUUCUCCCAGGAUCUACUACCAAGAGACCUCAAAGUCCAUUUCCAGCCUUCUACAUUUGGCCUUGGUAACACUUCAUCCAAUCAAAAGUGCCUCUUGGACCAGCUGUGUGGAUUAGGGGAAUUGUAAUGGAAAGUAGAAAUGUGCUCAUUUCUUAUGCUAAUUCCCAGAGUACCCCUCUGUCCUAAAGGCAUUCUGUAGCUGUGCCCACAAAGCACAAAGAGGUAAUGGAGAAUGAAGACAGCAUGCUCACAGAUUACCCAGGAACCAGGUCAAAUGCAUUAUCUCAUCCUAACUAAUUACAUGUGCACUGACUAUUUCCAAAUAAGGUCACAUUCUAAGGUACACAUUAGGACUUCAAUGUGUAAAAUUUGUAUUUGACACAAUUCAACAUCUUAAGUCAGUGACUCCCAAAUCCUGGUUCAAGGCUAAAGCAAA